AUGUGUUUCCUAGGGAUGGUUCUAACUUUCACGGUCCGGGCAAACCUCGUCAUGGCAAUUGUCUGUUUGUUUCCAAAAGGCUUCAAAGUGGAUAAUGACUCAGUAUCUGUGUUAAUUUAGACGGCACAGAUGAACCCGCCUACGAAAUUUCAGCAAAUACAUCCGGAAACACACUGAUGGCUGCUGGUUGGAAUGACAAAACGCAAGGACUGGCACUAUCAGCAUACUAUUACGGCUGUAUUGUAUCACCAAUAAUGGGCGGUUACGCGGCCACGAAAAGUGCCAAAUCCAUCAUGAUCGUAACCAUGGCUUUGGCCGCCAUCGUUACCGUGGUAACACCAAUGGCGAUUCCGUAUAGCGCUUACGUCACUGUGGCGCUGCGAGUAGUGAUUGGUCUGUGUGGGGGAGUUUAUGAGCCAGCAAUGCAGCACUUGGUGUCUAGUUGGGCUCCCAAGGACGAGAGGGGGAAGAUGACGGCUUUGUCACAGUCUGGUAAGGUUGUAGGCAAUGUUAUAUCGUUUGUUCUCUCCGGUAUAUUAUGUACCUUUGAAUUUCUGAGUGGAUGGCCCCUGACGUUCUAUGGGACAGGU